GGCUCCUGGGUAGUACUCAAAAGAUGCCCCACCUGCCACAAGGACACAUGUUCCACCAUGUUCAUAGCAGCCUUAUUUGUGAUAGCCAGGAGCUGGAACCAACCCAGAUGUCCCUCGACAGAAGAAUGGAUUCAGAAAAUGUGGUUCAUUUACACAGUGGAGUACCGCUCAGCUAUUAAUCAUGUGUUUUGUGGGCAAAUGGAUGGAACUAGAAAAUAUCAUCCUGAGUGUGGUAACUCAGACCCAAAAGAACAUGCAUGGUAUGUACACACUAAUAAGUGGAUAUUAGCCAAAAAAAUACAGAA
rnacentral:lncRNA from 1 species